rnacentral:misc_RNA from 1 species
UCCUGGUUGACCCAGGCAGUCUCGUGUGAAAAAUACAACACACGACAAGGGUUUCGCUCGUUGCGGGACUUAACCCAACAUCUCACGACACGAGCUUACGACGACCAUGCAUCACCUGUCACCGGUCCAGCAGGCUGACCUCCUUGUUUCCAAGGAGUACGACCGGGAUGUCAAGCCCUGGUAAGGUUCUUCGCUUAGCGUCGAAUUAAACCACACGCUCCACUGCUUGUGCGGGUCCCCGUCAAUUCCUUUGAGUUUUAGUCUUGCGACCGUACUCCCCAGGCGGGGUGCUUAACGCGUUAGCUUCGACACCCAGGGGGUCUAAUCCCCGAAUGCCUAGCACCCAUCGUUUACGGCGUGGACUAC